rnacentral:lncRNA from 1 species
GAAAGCUAAUAGGCAGCUGCCAGCAGUGGAGUGACAGGAUAGAGAAACAACUGUAGAGGAGCAAGAGAUGAUGGUGACUCAGACCAAAGUGGAAGCAGUGGAGGAAUCAUGGUAAUUGUCUUGCGCAAAGUAUCUUCCUUUAAUAUGGCAGAAAUAUUAGUGUGAAAGACAGAGGACUCUGAAAAGCAGGAGCAGGAAAUUUAAGAAAAACAGCAAAAGCAGACAUGAAGCUGAAGAACCACAGAGGAGCCAAAUUACAAGCAGUACCUGAAACACAUUCAUCACAGUCAAAAGGAAGUGAAGAGACACAGAAGGGAAGCAAGAUACUGAGAUGCUGCCAAGUAUCCCAGAGUCCAUGAUGGAGUAGAGAUGAAACAAUAGACCCAGGUCAUUCCUCUGCUGGAGGUUCUGAGGCAAGCAGUAGUGCUCUGCAGAUGAACAUUCAUGACAACUUGCCUUUCAACUGGAGGUGUGUGACAGCCAGAAAAAUACCAUCGAGGGCCUCUGAAGGGACUGCCUCUCCAAGGAGCC